CUAUAGUGUCUUUAUGAUUUUUUUAGUAAAACAUGUGGGGCCCAACAAACGCUAUAGAUAGAGAGGAGUGUGGUUGAUAGUAUGGUUUAAGGGUGUGCCUCUAGUGUUUCUAUUUGGGAAAUGGACUACUGGCAGUAGAGGAGGAGAUAACAGUGACAUAUUAAAGAAGGUGGUUGAGAUUUAUAUUUUUCCAGUGCUAUUAGAGUGAAAGAAGAUAAAGGUUUCAGGUGACAAAGAUGGGAUGCUUGCUGGAGGAUCAACUACUUCAUUUGUGACUGUCAUUGUAGUCAAGUGCAAAAAGAAUUUCUUCUUUCUGAAAAUUGAUGAUAGAACAUAUUCUUGCUUGCUUCAAG